rnacentral:lncRNA from 1 species
AUCAACCACUUCAGAAGAACCAGAUUCCACUUCUAUGACCAGGACUUUUAUGUUAUGGCUGGUCCGAUUGUUUUACCCUGCGUUCUAUGCUACUAAACCUUGGAUCAUUCCUAAAGUACAAAUUCUGUUCUUGAACCACAAACAAGCUAAAAGAUCGGAGGAAAUUCAGUGAAUAUGCAGGAUUGGGAUUGUGUGUUUUCAAAAGUGUUGAGAUUUAUAAUGCAAUCAUUCAAGAAAUAGAAUCAUUUUUUUAUGUUGUUGCCAGCAUUUUAAGUUAGCUGUUUAUUAAGUGACAUUCAUCAAAUAACUACAGAUUAUGCAUGGAAAUAUUUGCUGUCUGAAUAGUUUGGAGAUUUAACGAGAAAAUCAAGCUUCAGAGGAUUCUUUGGAUCAAUAUCAUUCUGUUUAGAAGUUCUAAACACAUCAGUAUUCCAGUGAAGCUACAAAAGACUUGUAGAGGUGUCUGAGGAUUUGUGAGCAUCAAGUGAAUGUUCUAUGGAAUCAUCUUUCCUUGCCUUUGAAUUACCUUUCCCUAGGCCAUGAGUCAACAUCCAUAUUUUAUUCUUCCAAAUUGAAUGAAGAAAUACAGACUUCCAUCUUGGAUUACCACCCUGCCAAAAGUCUGACGAGGGAUUGCAUUAUAUAUUUCCUGCAUCCAAGUGACUCAAUGACCAACCAAUUCUUACUAAAGAAUUUCCCAUCUGGAAUUCAGUUCUCUUCCUCCGGGAGGCUGAGAAUGAAGUACUGGAGGAAGCUCAACAGCUUUUACACUAAUGAAUAUAACUCUUCAUGGAAGCACAAAGAAGGAAUAUGA